UCUUCCCUGGGUUGCUGUCCCCGAGGUUCGACCUUUGUUUCCGCAGUGCCCGCCGGCCGGCCGCGCCUCUGUCGGUGCUCUCACUGCUGCCCCGUCCUUCUCGUUUUCCCUCGUUUGUCGCGUCCUCUUCCAAGUUCCCAGGGGCCUUCUUGCUGUGCCCUCGCCCCUCUGAACGCCCACCGACUCUGCCUUCUCGGCUUCCCUCGGUUCAGCUUGGGUAUCCUGUAUGGCGCUGCUUUUUCAUUCAAUGCAAAAGCCUUUUCAGGGCAAUGUUAUUUUCAUGACACACACCCCUUUCGUGAAAUCACGGUUUCUAAAUCUCUUCAAGUGACUCAGUAAUCAGAAGGUCCCAAGACCGAAGUAAAAAGGAACGUUGAGGCUGAGGAGGAAUUGUCUUUUGCCUGGGGAAGCUAUGCAGGCACUGGUGUGCGCGUGGGGACCAGAGGGCAACUGUGGGCAGCAUUCUUCCCCAAGUGCCGACAACUUCACCCGCUGUUUGAAGACAAGAGCCUCUCAAUAGCCUUGGCUUGCUGAGUAGGCCAAGCACGUUUGAUCAAGAUGUAGAACUCUCAGCUUCUCUGGAGCCAUGCCUGC